UACGAAGGGGGCUAGCGUUGCUCGGAAUCACUGGGCGUAAAGCGCACGUAGGCGGACUCUUAAGUCGGUGGUGAAAUCCUGGAGCUCAACUCCAGAACUGCCUUCGAUACUGAGAGUCUCGAGUCCGGGAGAGGUGAGUGGAACUGCGAGUGUAGAGGUGAAAUUCGUAGAUAUUCGCAAGAACACCAGUGGCGAAGGCGCUCACUGGCCCGGUACUGACGCUGAGGUGCGAAAAGCGUGGGGAGCAAACAGGG
rnacentral:rRNA from 1 species